rnacentral:rRNA from 1 species
AUUGAACGCUGGCGGCAGGCUUAACACAUGCAAGUCGAGCGGAGAGAGGUAGCUUGCUACUGAUCUUAGCGGCGGACGGGUGAGUAAUGCUUAGGAAUCUGCCUAUUAGUGGGGGACAACAUUUCGAAAGGAAUGCUAAUACCGCAUACGUCCUACGGGAGAAAGCAGGGGAUCUUCGGACAUUGCGCUAAUAGAUGAGCCUAAGUCGGAUUAGCUAGUUGGUGGGGUAAAGGCCUACCAAGGCGACGAUCCGUAGCGGGUCUGAGAGGAUGAUCCGCCACACUGGGACUGAGACACGGCCCAGACUCCUACGGGAGGCAGCAGUGGGGAAUAUUGGACAAUGGGCGCAAGCCUGAUCCAGCCAUGCCGCGUGUGUGAAGAAGGCCUUAUGGUUGUAAAGCACUUUAAGCGAGGAGGAGGCUACUUUAGUUAAUACCUAGAGAUAGUGGACGUUACUCGCAGAAUAAGCACCGGCUAACUCUGUGCCAGCCGCCGCUGUAAAAC